rnacentral:rRNA from 1 species
AGUGAACGCUGGCGGUAUGCCUAACACAUGCAAGUCGAACGGCAGCACAGUAAGAGCUUGCUCUUACGGGUGGCGAGUGGCGGACGGGUGAGGAAUACAUCGGAAUCUACUUUUUCGUGGGUGAUAACGUAGGGAAACUUACGCUAAUACCGCAUACGACCUACGGGUGAAAGCAGGGGAUCUUCGGACCUUGCGCGAUUGAAUGAGCCGAUGUCGGAUUAGCUAGUUGGCGGGGUAAAGGCCCACCAAGGCGACGAUCCGUAGCUGGUCUGAGAGGAUGAUCAGCCACACUGGAACUGAGACACGGUCCAGACUCCUACGGGAGGCAGCAGUGGGGAAUAUUGGACAAUGGGCGAAAGCCUGAUCCAGCCAUACCGCGUGGGUGAAGAAGGCCUUCGGGUUGUAAAGCCCUUUUGUUGGGAAAGAAAAGCAGCAGGUUAAUACCCCGCUGUUCUGACGGUACCCAAAGAAUAAGCACCGGCUAACUUCGUG